rnacentral:lncRNA from 1 species
UGACACCCACAAGCGGAACACUAUUCAGAUUACGGAAACCUUCAUAUUUCGGGGGUGGUGUAGGCAUACAGUGACUUAGAUCAGAUGAGUCAAUUCUGAACAUGAAAACAAAUAAGAUGGUAUUUUGUAGGCACUGGUUGUACGAUUGUGAAGUUUCACUUCCCUAACUCCACAGUUUGAUAUGUUUUUAAUCCAAAUAUCUAUAUCUGAAUAGAGAUGAAGAGGCAGAUCAUUAGGAUUGCAAAGAAUAAACUUCAAUAUGAGACCUCCACGAGAUAAAAGAAUACUGCUGCCGGUUAUUGAAAAUUCAUAAAGUAAGUUUAGUUUCUCUAAUUCUGAAAGGAAACCUCUGAGAAAGCCGGUUGAAGAAAAGGUCAUCAAAAACUAGGUGUGAGUGCAUUUCCCAUUUACCCCUCUAUUUUUUUGAGAGAAUGCUCAUUCUUGCUACACAGUCAACCGGCAAUCACUUUUGAAUUAGGUAUAGUAAGUCACUGGGCAUGUCACUUUUGAAUUAGACCUUAUUCUAAAGCGAUUGCCGGUUGACUGUAUUGCAAGAAUGUGCAUUCUCUCAAAAACAUGGAGAGGUAAAUGAGAAAUGCACCCACACCUAGUUUUUGAUGACCUUUUCUUCAACCGGCUUUCUGAGAGGUUUCCUUCGAGAAGUAUAGAAACUAAACUAUAUGAAUUUUCAAGAACCGUCAGCAGUAAUCUUUUAUCUCAUAGUGGUCUCAUAUUGAAGUUUGUUCUUUGCAUUACUCAUGAUUUGUUUCUUCAUCUCUAUUUAGAUAUAGAUAUUUGGAUUAAAAACAUAUCAAACAAUGGAGUUAGGGAAGUGCAACUUCAUAAUCGUACAUUGAGUGCCUACAAAAUACCAUCUUAUUUGUUUUCCGGUUCAGAGUUGACUCAUUUUCCAUAAUUUAAUUAGUGUUUCACUUGUGGGUGUCAUAAUUACUACUGCCAUAUCAUUUGGGGCAAAACUUAUGGACCUACAUUUACAACGUUCAUCAUUUGCGUACUAAUGUCUUCUGUUAACCUUGUAUGUAGGAACCUGAUGUGAAGUGGUAGUAUGUUAUGCACAAGGUGGAAACCUGGGAACGUAUGGUGUCAUCGGUUACACAAUAUUUGCAAUCACUACACUUGAUUGGCAUGGCUUUUGACCAACUCGAAACUGUGGAAUUAUAUGGAGUGAAUCUUUCGUUUGAACUUCAGUCCAUAAAGCUUUUGCUUGCAUCUUCUCCUUCGCUUAAAUUGAUGAGAAUUUAUUACAUGAUUCAUGACCAUGAAGAAGCGUUCAGGGUUUCGCAAGAGUUAAUGAGGUUCGCUCGAGCAUCCCAACUGCAGAGAUUAUAUGGAAGUAACUAGACGUAUUGGUAGGUUUGAUUUGGAAGUUAACGUUGAACCAUAUGAACUCCUUGGGAUUGUUUAUUUUGUGGUUGCGGAAUCAGACCCCUCUUCGUGGCUCUAGAACUUGAGAUCUUUUUUCUGGAUUUAUUAUGUUUAAUUUCAAUGACAGCAAAGUUUUUAGUAUACUUAUAUAUUCUGGGUUUAUUUAAGUUUUUGGUUUAAUGGCGUUCAUGUUUAGAGUUCCGUAAACUGGAGGCCACACAUGUAGUCAUGGUUGCUCCUCUAUUUGGCAAUCAUAUUUUAGGUGCUCUCUUGAGUGUAAUUGUUUAUUUGUUUGUCAUAUUUUGAUGGUUUAACUCUGACUGUCCUUCCUCGAAACUAAAAUGCCUUGAACUAGCAGUCACUCUUGUUUUCGGAAGUCGGAGUGUUGCUCUGUUUGACCCACCCUGUUCUGUACUUUUUCCGAUCUUGGGUGUUGCUUUGUUUGCGCCCCAUUGUUACAAGCAUCAGGUCCUUACGGAAGAGGAAGUGCUUAUCUAAAAGCUGAACAUUUGUCUUCACUGAUGGAAGUUUCUCUCUUUGUAUGCUGUUUAUUCUGGAACAGCUAUAUAGAAUAGCACAUUUACUGACAUUACUUUGAAAUUCUCUUAUCCUUUUCUUGGUAUGUUUAAACCCCUAUGGAAGUCUUUAUUAUUUUCACGAAAUGGUUGAUUGCAGAAAUUUUAAUGCACGUCUCUCCCUGGGAUUUGAACAUGCAACCCUCACAGUUUUACACAAAAAAUAUUCACUACGCCACUAAGAAGUCUCCUUUGGUACUAUUUAUUUGGAAUAUCAGUUUUGUCAUUUCAGUUUCUCGAAAGAAAAAACAUAUCUACUUGCCAUGUUUCUUAUAUGUAAAUCUUGCCUGCUAUUUGCUCAUGUGUUGGUAGUUGUGGACCAAUUUGACGGGUCUUGAGUUUAACUGUCACAAUUUUCAAAAAAAAAGUUCUCAGAUAUUAUUGCGGGAGAAGAUGAUCAUCACCUACCACCUUACAAUCCAAAACAUUAGAUUGCGCAUCGUUUAUCCUCUUUUUCUUCUUAACCAUCUAUUGUUUUAAGACCUAAACGCUAUUUCAUGUAGAUUUUUUCAGGUGGAUGCAUUCACAGAAUCAGCGUUCAAGGGAAACCCAGCUGCAGUUUGUUUGUUAGAAGAGGAAAAAGAUGAGAAAUGGCUACAAUUGGUGGCCACUGAGUUCAAUCUCUCCGAGACAUGUUUCUUGACUAGGAUUGACUUGGAUUCGCCUAAUCCCAGGUUUCACCUCACAUGGUUCACUCCUGUUGCUGAGGUUCACUUGCUCUUGAUUCUUGUCUGUUUUUUGGGGUUUUAUGAUUCCCCGGGUGUCGAAUUCUGGUCUUGGGUAUUGGGUUUGUGUAAAAAUUUGAUCUUUUUGGUGGUAGCGGUCUUGAAUUGAAUUUGUGUAUUGGGGUUGCUUAAAGAUUUGAUCUCUUUGGUGUUAGCAGUCUUGAAUUUAACAUGGGGCAAUAUAAAGUUGAUUUAGACAUUCAAGCGGACGUAAUAACAAAUAAGUAUGAUAUGCAUAUUAAAUCCCUUUGUUACUGAGGUUCAGUUACUAUUGAGUCUUGUCCAUCUUUUUUGGUUUUUGUGAUUCCCCGGAUGUCUAAUUUUGAUCUCGUUAGUAGCUCAUUUAUUUGUGUAUUGGGUUUACGUAAAGAUUUGAUCUUUUUGGUGUUACUGGUCUUGAAUUUGAAUUUGGACAAAAUAAAGUGAUUUAAAAAAGUUAGUUUGGAGUUUGGACACUCAAGCUGAAUAUUCCCGCAAAGAUGGCUUUUCGAGUAAAUUAAGUAUGAUAUACAUAUUAAACCGCUUUAGUAAUAAUUUAAAAUUCUAGUGGAGUUGGUAACUUGAUAGAUAUUAUGAACGUUCAAUAUGUUAUUGCUUUGCUCAUGUAAUAGGUAAAGCAUGAACAACCAUGUCUUUUUUUAAUCAUGCCAUAUCACUGCUACUUUGUCAGUUGUCAUUUUAAUUGAAUGUUGAAUAAAACAUGCAUUAUUAGACUAUGUUUUAUUGGAUAGCCACAGGUGGUGGUUGCUUUAUCUUCCCAUCUGAAACGGGUCUAAGCAAUCAUAUGUGUGAUAUCUAAAACUGAUGAAGAUAGUGGCUUUCUUUAUAUCAAAUUUACCAAUUGCUGGAUAAGUCAUUCGUAGCCGGCUUUUUAUAGUUUACGAAGACUUGCUAGUUUUCAUCUCUAUGCAUAAUGUCUGCUUACAGGUUAAACUUUGUGGCCAUGCAACUUUGGCGGCAUCCCACUUCAUCUUCUCAUCUGGUUUGGUGAAAGUGAAUGUGAUCGAGUUCAUGACACUGUCUGGAGUUUUGACUGCUAGGAGUGUUUCAAUGCCUGAAGUUUCUGUAUUAUCACAGUUGAAAAGUGAUGGUUUCUGUACAGAGUUGGAUUUUCCUGUCGUGCCACUGGUUGAAUAUACUUCUGCUGAGGUGUCUAACAUUUCACAAAGUUUAAAUGGCGCCUCUAUUGUUGACAUCAAGAAAAGGUCUACAGAAAAGGACUACAGAAGAUGACCUCCUUGUAUGUGUUUGGCUUUGCUCUAACAUUUUGUUAAUAUCAUUACCAUGUGGAUACAUUCUUUUUGGAAAUUGUUUAUGAUGGGGCUAACAUAUCUUAACAGUGAAAUGUUAUAUACUACUGCCAUUGUUUCUUGCUUUGGAAAAGUUAAUAUUUUGUAUCUGAGGAAUGUAAAAGUCAUCUAAAAAUGCAGGUUGUGCUCUCAGCUGGAAAGACUGUUGCAGAAUUACAGCCGAUGUUUGAAAAGAUACAGAAACUUCCUUGCAGAGGAAUGACAGUAACAGCGCUUGCUCCCUCUGAAUCUGGGUUUGACAUAUACAGCCGCUUCUUUUAUCCUAAAUAUGGGAUUAAGGAGGUAAACAUUAAUCUAAAUAUCAGGAUUCAUUUAUAAUUUUCGAAACCUUUGGAGUUUUCUCAUAGUCUUGCUACACUUGGUAUGUGGUAGUGUCUUCAUAACCUGUCUACCUUCCGGAUACAUUCUUGUCUUUCUUUUCUUAUGUGUAGAAUUCGGAUAUUCCAUUUGUCCUCCACCCGCCUUUCAUUAUAGUUCAUUUGCUAGAUUAUUUGUAUAAUGUUGAAUACAAAACUAAAUUUAAAUUGUCUAUCCUUAGCCUCCUUGCUGCUUAUUGUCUGUGGAUAUACAGGCACGCGCUGUUUUAAGGGUGAAAUUUAGUUGAAUCCGGGUUUUCAAUAGGGGUGCUAGUUUUUAUGUCUUCCCCUAUAGACUAUAGUUACAGGCACCAGGUAAUUAACUAAAGAAAGAGCUUAUCUAAAAGUUGAACAUCUGUCCUGAGUGCUGGGACUUGAUACAAUCGGUAACCUCUUUAAUGCGUGCAAUUUUAUUUCAGGAUCCUGUCACAGGCAGUGCACAUUGUGCCUUGGCACCCUAUUGGUGCCAAAAGCUGGGAAAAAGUGAUCUUGUUGCAUAUCAGGUGAUUGUCCUUAGUGCUCACUGCUCACUCUCUCUGCCUAAUUCUAUCAAAUGUGUAUGCACACACUGAUUUGAUAUUUGAUCCAUUUGGAGCUUGUUCAUUAAACUCACUAUUCAACUUUGUGAUGUAGUAUUUCGUGAAUUCAGGCAUCAACUAGAGGUGGCUUCAUAAGAUUACAUCUAGAUGAGAGGAAUCAAAGGGUAAUGCUCCAAGGGAAAGCUGUUACUGUGAUGGAAGGUUCUCUCCUAGUUUAAAUAUGGAGGUAUUCCUAGAAUGCCUAAAAUGAACCGGGAGCUAUUCAUAAUUAAAACAUCAGAAUCUUAAGAUCAUUAUAUUGUGUCUGUAACAGUUUACUUAACAAGUUUUUAUAGCUAUUUCUUGAUGAACACUAUUUUCUUAAAUGUGUUGUUGAUAUGUGUUUCGUGCUAAUGAUUAUUGAUAAGUAGUACUUUUAUAGUUCUCUUAGAUAUAUUGCUUGCAAUUAUCUAGUUGAUUAAUUAUUGCAGUUGUGUUCACUCUUCAGAGUCACUGAAACCAAAUUGAGUUGGUAAUCUGUUUGUUGGCCUGACAAGUAACAUAAGUGAGUAUUUAUAAGUCAUUUUAUUCAACAAGUUCAAUAUAUCUAUUGCGAAGUAUUGUGCAAAGUAUGGAAAUUCGUAAAUAAUACUGGCAAAAUUGUGCCAAUAUUAUUUAGAUCACCUAACUUCACUUACGACCGAAAGAAAGCGUUGAUGAUUAUAUUCUUGCCAAGAUUCAUAUAUUUUUGCUGAUUGUAUACUAGCUUUUAGAAUAUGAAUUGAUAUUGAUUUUAAAUUAUAUUUAAUAAUUGGGAUUUCAUUUAAAAUGAUAGUAUAAAUUUGAUUGGGGUGACUGAAAAUUUUCGAUAUUUAUGACUAUUUAAAUUUGGAAGGUUAAUUUUGAAUAUUUAGAAAUUAUUUCAAGAAUUUACUCCGAUAGUCCUAUGUAAAAUGUGUCAGUUCCGUUUUGCAUAUAUUAAGACUUAUGUCAAAUGUAAUUAUAAAAGAGUUUUUGUAUUAUUAUAUUUUGGUAGUUAAUUUUUAUAGCUAACAAAUUUCAAAAAUAUAUAUUAUUUACACAUACAUCUUCAGAACAUAUUAAAAUAACUAGUAAGCUGCUCCAGAGCUCUUCAUCCCAAACAUGACGACGACUAGGAAAGAGGAAAAAAAAAUUCCAGUUCACAUUUCGAACCUGCUGGACAAGUAAGUUUUCUUUUAAUUUUCAAACAUGGAUUAACUUCUUAUUCAUUCAUUUACUUUUGUAAUGUAAUUGGAUCAAAUUUCUUGUAUAUAAUCCCAUGUGAAGCAAACACAUGAAUUUAGCUCUAUACAUUUCAGGCCUGGUUCUCAUUUCUAUGUAUACAACUUGGAUAGUUUUAUGAUUAAUAUGCUCGAUAUAAUACCAUGAUCUGAUAUUGCGUUUGUUGGAUGUUUAAUAAAUGUUAUCCAAACUAAUUGCCUCUAGUUGGUAAUGAUGUAAUUCGAUUUUCAUAGGUUGUUUUUGAUAUCAAUAAUCAAAUUUUUUAGAUAUGUGCAACAGAUCACUGUGAAUAUAUACGUAACAGGUCAGUGUGAAGUGUAAUAAGUAUGAGUGAAGUAUAUUUGAAUUUAUAACUCAAAUCCAAUGAUUUUAAUUGCUAAUUUGAGAAUGGAAUGGUACUGUUUAUGUCAAGUGUUCAUUUUCUUCUUAUUUGUGUACAACUUUAAUAACAUGUCAGAAUGCUAUUUAGUAUUAUUCCACCAGUCCAGGAGUAAUUCCUUUUCCUUAAAAUUUUCGAUAACUUCCCGGGGGCGUAGAAGGCUUAUUAAUAUAUAGAUUUUGUUAAGUAUCAACUCAAUAGAAGUAGUCCGGUGUUAAGUAAAUUCCUUGUCAUCAUGUACAUACGGGGUUGUUCCAAAUUGUGCAACAUAGGACUAAAAAGAACUUUUUCUUUGAGCUAAUUACCUUCACGCACAAGGUUCUCUUAUUUGCCAGAAGAAAAUAAUAAGAGUUCCUUGAUGAAAAAUUCCCAUGUCAUAAUCGAUUGCUCCGCUCGUAAGGUUUGAAACCAAAUGUUCAAUCACACUACAACGUUGCAUAUAUAGGUUAGUAAGUUGAGCCCAAAUAAUGUCGGUAUUAAUUAUGACACCCACAAGCGAAACACUAAUCAGGUUACGGAAACCUUCAUAUUUCGGGGGUGGUGUAGGCAUACAGUGACUUAGAUCAGAUGAGUCAAUUCUGAACAUGAAAACAAAUAAGAUGGUAUUUUGUAGGCACUGGAUGUACGAUUAUGAAGUUUCACUUCCUUAACUCCACUGUUUGAUAUGUUUUUAAUCCAAAUAUCUAUAUCUGAAUAGAGAUGAAGAGGCAGAUCAUUAGGAUUGCAAAGAAUAAACUUCAAUAUGAGACCUCCACGAGAUAAAAGAAUACUGCUUCCGGUUAUUGAAAAUUCAUAUAGUUUAGUUUCUCUACUUCUGAAAGGAAACCUUUGAGAAAGCCGGUUGAAGAAGAGGUCAUCAAAAACUAGGUGUGAGUGCAUUUCCCAUUUACCCCUCCAUGUUUUUAAGAGAAUGCUCAUUCUUGCUACACAGUCAACCGGCAAUCACUUUUGAAUUAGGUCUAGUGAGUCACUGGGAAUGUCACUUUUGAAUUAGACCUUCUUCUAAAGUGAUUGCCGGUUGACUGUGUAGACAUUCUCUCAAAAACAUGGAGGGGUAAAUGAGAAAUGCACCAACACCUAGUUUUUGAUGACCUUUUCUUCAACCGGCUUUCUCAGAGGUUUCCUUCCAGAAGUAGAGAAACUAAACUAUAUGAAUUCUCAAGAACCGUCAGCAGUAGUCUUUUAUUUCGUAGUGGUCUAAUAUUGAAGUUUGUUCUUUGCAUUCCUCAUGAUUUGUUUCUUCAUCUCUAUUUAGAUAUAGAUAUUUGGAUGAAAAACAUAACAAACAAUGGAGUUAGGGAAGUGCAACUUCAUAAUCGUACAUUGAGUGCAUACAAAAUACCAUCUUAUUUGUUUUCCUGUUCAGAGUUGACUCAUUUGAUUCUAAGUUGUUGUAUGUUCACACAACCCCGGAAAUUUGAAGACUUCCGUAAUCUGAUUACUGUUUUGCUUGUGGGUGUCAUAAUUACAACUGACAUAACAUUUGGGGCUCAACUUACUGACCUACAUUUGCAACGUUGCAUUGGGAUUGAACAUUUGGGAUGUCAAUAUAAAUAUUAUAUCAAUCUCACUUUUCUGAGUAUCACCCAUUGUGGGGAAAUUGAUGGGCAAUGGUUUGGAUGCACCCGAAAGGUGAUUGAUUCUGUUCUCAUGUUAUAUGGAGCGGCAAAGAGCAUUGUGGAUUUGGAAGAGCUAGUUGACAAUAUGCCUAGAAUCCGUACUCUUCAUCUUGAUGGCUCUUUUCUUAAGGUAAUUAAAGUGAACCUCGUAAUCUCUCGUAAUGAGACUGGUGAGAUCUAAUUCCCGAAAUUCUGUUUUUGUUAUAGUUUUUUCUACUGGGUAUGAAAGACUUGCGGUCCUCUCUGUAAGUGAUAAUCACAUUCCACCCACUCUGGCUUAGAUUCUGCCUUGUUUUUCUUUCACUUAUUCUCCAGCUAUAUUUGUUCCUACUUUCUCUUUAUUAAUCACGUCAUAACAAUGUCCUCAUAUUAUCUGUAAUAGCAUUGUAUUGUAUUGUAUUUGAGUCCUGAUCUCUUUUUGUCGCAAGAGUUAAUGAGGUUCCCCCGAGCAUCCACAACUGCAGAGAUUAUAUGGAAGUAACUAGCCGUAUUGGUAGGUUCGUUUUGGAAGUUAAUGUUGAACCAUAUGAACUCCUUGGGAUUGUUUAUUUUGUGGUUGCAGAAUCAGAGACCCUUUUUGUUGCUCUUGAACGCGAGAUCUUUUUCUGGGUUUAUUAACUUCAAUUUCAAUGACAGCAAAGUUUUUGGUUUAUUUAUUUAUUUAUUUGUUCUGGGUUUUUCUUAAGUUUUUGGUUUAGAUGGCUUUCAUGUUUAGAGUCCCGUAAACUGUAGGCCACAUGUAGUUCUCUAUUUGACAAUCAUAUUUUUGGCGUUACAAGCAUCAGGUCCUUAAGUAACAGGAAGUUCUUAUCUAAAAGCUGAACAUUUUAUAUAUAGACACAAAAUUACACAAAUAUACGGAGAAAACACUCAUUUGAUCUAAAAUAAAUACAAAUAUUAUAAGAUAAAAAAAAUACUAUAUAUACAAUUUGAUAAUAUAGGUGUAACAUAAAUUAUUAUAUACAAUCUCGAGGUUGCGAAGUAGUUAUAACUAAUAUCACUUCUACAUUUUUCCCGAGUCAAAGAAAUACCGUAAGGGAGGUAUCUACUUUCCGCCUGUAUUUUAAAAUAUUUAAUGUAUAUUUAUAAAUUUUAAUCUUCAACUUUUUUUAGAUAAUAUAUUAAUUUAAUAUUUCAAACAAAUAAUGAGAUUUUAACAUAUUUUGCCUACCGGAUCAAACAGUACUUCAAAUAUCUCUAAUUUAUUAGAAACCUUUUUGAUAAAUUUUUACAAAACAAUUUAAAAACUUAUGUUUUUAAAUAAUAAGAUAAGAUAUAAUCAUUAAAAAAAUAUUAUAUAUUCAUUAUUUAGCAGUAAGUAUCUGAAAAUAAAUUUAGCUAAAUCAUGAGUGACAUAUUUUUUUUCUUUUUUCAACGCAAACUCUAAUAAAAAUCGUUAAAACCCUAGCCCAAAAAAAAAAACAAUUAAAUACGAUUUAAUAAAAACUCCUUAAAACCUUAGCCCAACGCAUCUAUGCUAUACUAUUAAAGCCGAAACAUUAAAAGUUUGGUCAGUCGGUACGCGGGCUUUUAUACGGGCUUUUAUAAUUAGCAGGCUUCAAACAAAAUUAGUGGGCUUCAAACAAAAUAUAAACAAAUCAAAAUAUAAAACAAAUAUACGAUCAAAACAUAAAACAAAUAUAAAACCUAUUUGACUAUACCACAACUAAAAUCAAACCUUAAAAAAUAUUAUAUUAUUACAGCCGAAGCAUUAAAAACUGUGUUGAACCUCGGUUACAAAUGUGUUGAAUGCACGAUUUAUUUACACGUUAUUUUUAAAACUUUGAUGUUUUUUCAAUAAUUUUCAAUAUGGGCCUAUCUAUAUACCGAUUAUUCUUUUUAACUAAAAUAUGUUAUUUUUUUUAUAUUUUCUAAUUAAAAAAACUCUAUUAUUUAAAAUAACAUCGAAAAACAUAGUAAUUAUCUUUUUAACUAUAACACAUUAUCAUUUUUAUAUAUUCUGACUAAAAAACAGAUACAAUUAACACGGGCUACAUAUAUCAUAAUUUUAUUCUCACAAUAAUAAUAGUUUACUAUACUAUUAAAGCCGAAACAUUAAAAAUUUGAUCGGUCGGUAGUUGGGCCAAAUUAUGGGCUUACUUAUAUAAUCAAUUAUCUUUUUAACUAAAUCUAUUAUCUUUUUUUGUAUUUUCUAACUAACAAAACUCAAUUUCCAAAAAUAAUAUUGGACAACAUAGCAACUAGUCAACUACCCUUUUUAACUAAAAAAUGUUAAUUUUUCAGAAUCCUAACUUAAAAAUCGAUUUUCCAAAAAUAACACAUGAAACAUUCAUAUAAAAAAGAUAUUAUAUAUCUAGAGAAGUGUUCUGGUACAAACUUACAAAUGUUUUUUGUUCAACACAUACAUAUAACUCGAGUUCAACAUUUUUUAAGAUAUUUUGUUGAACAUUGAUUUAAAUUGUGUUGAAGUAGUACAUAAACUAAUUUCUCAAUGUAAGAACUAAGUUAAACGUAUUAUAUAACCAAUAUUUAUCUUUCUAGACUCUACCCAAACCCCAGAGAUAUAGUUUAACCAUCUUUAUAAAUAUAUUCAACACAAUGAUAAUUAAUGUUCUACACCCAAUGGUGAACCUCGGUUACAAAUGUGUUGAAUGCACGAUUUAUUUACACGUUAUUUUUAAAAACUGUGAUGUUUUUUCAAUAAUUUUCAAUAUGGAUACUUUCGAUAACUAAAUAUUAACACGUUUGGAGAAUAAAAACAUUCAAAAAAAAAAGUUUGUAACUUAAAAAAUAUUUUAUUUGAUCAUAUUCUAUAUAUCUAUAUUAUUAUACUAUUAAAUCCGAAACAUUGAAAGUUUGGUCGGUCAGUACUUGGUCAAAAUACGGGCCUAUCUAUAUACCAAUUAUUCUUUUUAAUUAAAACUAGCUUAUAGCCCGUGCAAGGCACGGGAGCUUUUUAAUUAUUUAUAAACCUUUUAAAUACAUUUUAAAUGGUGUGAAAAAAUUUAAUUUAUAAAUAAUAAAUUAAAAUUGUAUGUAUCAUGCCAAAGUAUUAAAUUAUUAUCAAUUUUUAAAUUAUUUUAAGUAAAAUAUGUGACGCCAACUCUUAUUAGAUUAUAUUUAUAAAUGUCUUUUUAUAUUAGAAUUAUUAUGUGAUUAAAAUAUUUUUUAAAAAAUUUUUAUGGUUCGAGAUUAAAAUUGAUAAACACAGUUUGUUUUGAAUUAAGACGAUGAAUCAUAAACAUGUAAUAAGAUUGUAGAAUUUGUUUUGGAUUAAGAAAAUUUUUUUGUAUUCGUUCCUCACAUAAAUCGGGCUUAUUAAUUUUAGAAUAUAUUAGAUAAAAAUAAUUUUGUGACGACGCGAUUUAUAUGAUUCUACAAAUAAAAUUGGUAGAAAAUAUUUAUUUUCGAUUAAAAAAAAUCAUAAACAGGUGAAAUAUAGAAUUUGUUUUGGAUUCAGAAAAGGAAUUAUAAACAUGGAAUUAUAAACAUGCAAGUAGAUAUCAAUUGUCUUAUGGAACGGAAGUUAAUUUUAUUCUAAUCUAACGGUGCUUAUUUGUUCAAUAUACGAUCCGAUGGAUAAAUCUAAUUUUGUGACGGUGCGAUUUAUACGAUUCUACAAUUAAAAUUUGUAGGAAAUAUUUUUUUUGUAUUAAAAAAAACCAAAAACACAUGAAAGACGGAAUUUGUUUUGGAUUCAGAAAAGGAAUUAUAAACAUGCAAGUAGAUGUCAGUUUCCUUAUAGAACAAAAUUUAAUUUUGUUCUAAUCUAACGAUGCUUAUUUGUUCAAUAUACGAUCCAACGGAUGAUAAGCUUUUGGACCAUAAGACCAUGCGACCAAAUUAUCUCCCUUACGCUUAUUAUAUAUAAGUAUAUAAUAUGUUAUCUUUUUUUAUAUUUUCUAACUAAAAAAACUCCAUCAUUUAAAAUUAUAUGGAGAAACAUAGUAAUUACCUUUUUAACUAAAACACAUUAUCUUUUUUAUAUUUUCUAACUAAAAAACAGAUUUUCUACAAUUAACAUGAGCUACAUAUAUAAAAAUAUAAUAUUAUUAUAUAUAAUUAUUAAUAACUAACCUGUGAUAUUUUUCAACCAAAAUACAUUAACAUUAUUUUUAAAUACACUAAUGGACUCAAUUUAAAAAUAAUAUUAUAAAUCUAUAAUAUACUAUUAUACUGUUAAAUUCGAAACAUGAAAAGUUCAGUUAGUCAGUAGGUCUGUCGAAUUUGGUGAGCCAUGUGGUAUACGACCCACAACGUCUUUAUUUAUAACAUGUUGUAAUAUAUUUUUUAUUAUCAAUUAAAUUACCAAAACAUUUAAGUUAGUAUGAUGGGUCGGUAUUUAGUUUUACGCGUCUUUUUUAACUUAAUAUGUUCCAUACUAUAUUAUAAAGGGGUUUUCUCAUAAAUACCUAAGUCCAAAAUUAUUUUUGCAAAAUUACUACAUUUUUUGGAAAAAUUAUCAAAUUUUUGAAAAUAUUUGCAAAAAUACUGUAUGCAACCUGUUGCCACCACAUGCAACGAUACUUGCAACCAGAUGCAACCAUAUUUGCAACUCCUGGAGGCCAAUUAACUAAAGUUGCACCUGUUUGCAUCUAGCUUCAGACCGUAUUUUUGCAAAUAUUUUCUAAAAAGUUAGUGUUUUUAUAAUUUUCUUAAAAUAUAGUAAAAUCGCAAAAAAAUUUAGAAAAUGUAAUAUUUUUAAUAAAUUCUCUAUUAUUAAUUAUCAAUAACGAAAUAUUAAAAGAUUGAUUGGUUUAUUUAUAUCUGAUUUUAUAGAUCUCUCUAAAUUAUAACAUGAAAAACAAAUGUAUUUUAACAUUCUCUGUAAAAUAUAUAUGUUCGACCUAAUUUUUUAUUAGCCAUUUGACGAAAUUAACUAUUAAGAAUUUAUCAUUUGUUAAAUAUAAAAUUUAUUUAAUCAUAUUAUUCUAUCAUAAUUUUACUCUCAAAAUAAUAUUAGUUUAAGUUAAAAUAUAUACGAUAAAAUUACAAAUAUUAUAACCGCCCGUGCAUUGCACGGGUUAUAAGCUAGUGUAAGUUGUGAAUUAAAUAAUUAAUGUCGUCUCUAAUAAAAUUACUUAAAACUCUAGCCCAAGCCCAUGUAAGCUAUGAAUUAAAUAAUUAAAAGUGCUCUAAUAAAACUCCUUAAAACUCUAACUCAAACUCAUAUAAGCUAUGAAUUAGACAAUUAAACGCGCAUGGCCCAAGCCCAUGUAAUCCGUUCUAAUAAAACUCUUUAAAAUCCUAACCCAAACCCAUAUAAGCUAUAAGCUAUAAAUUAAAUAAUUUAAAGCGCUCUAAUAAAACUCCUUAAAACCCUAGCCCAAGCCCACAUAAGCUUUGAAUUUAAAUAUUAAACGGGGCUACUACAUUUCAAUUCAAACUUGUGAUUUACGCCAUUUUCUCAAAUGCCUGCGGCGGCUACUAUUCUGUAUUUCUGUAUAGUAAACCCUUUUUCUUGAUUAAAAAUCAACCCAUGACGAAGAAGCCUGUGUGGUAAUCUCAUUCUGUUAGUUAUACAUGCAUCAUUUUGUUUUUUACACACACAUAGAGUGAUGAUUUGCUAAAAAGAUUGAAUUUUUCAGGUGGAUGCAUUCACAGAAUCAGCGUUCAAGGGAAACCCAACUGCAGUUCAAUUGGUGGCCACUGAGUUCAAUCUAUCUGAGAGACAUGUUUCUUCACUAGGAUUGACUUGGAUUCGUCUUCACCUCAGAUGGUUCACUCCUGUUGCCGAGGUUCACUUGCUUUUGAUUCUUGUCUUAUUUUUUAGGUUUUUAUGAUUCCCCCGGUGUUGAAUUUUGGACUUGUGUAUUGGGUUUGUGUAAAGAUUUGAUCUUUUUGGUGGUAGUGGUCUUGAAUUGAAUUUGUUUAUUGGUCUUGUGUAGUGGGUUUGUGUAAAGAUUUGAUCUUUUUGGUGUAGCAGUCUUGAAUUUGAUUGGGGCAAAACAAAGUUAAUUUGGACAUUCAAGGGGAAGUAAUAACGAAGAUGUAUGAUAUGCAUGUCAAACCCCUUUGUUGCCAAGGUUCAGUUACUAUUGAGUCUUGUUCAUCGUUUUAGUUUUUCUGAUGCACACACUGGUUUCAUAUUUGAUCCAUUUGGAGCUUGUUCAUUAAUCAUCGCUAUUCUACUUUGUGACGUAGUAUUUUGUGAAUUCAGGCAUCAACUAGAGGUGGCAUCAUAAAAUUACAUUUAGAUGAGAGGAAUCAAAGGGUAAUGCUCCAAAGGAAAGUUGUUAUUGUGAUGGAAGGUUCUCUCCUAGUUUAUAUAUGGAGGUAUUCCUAGAAUCUUGAGAUCAUUAUAUUGUAUCUGUAGCAGUUUACUUAACAAGUUUUUUUACCAUUUACUGCAUAUAUUUUUUGAUGAACAUUGAACACUACUUUCUUAAAUGUGUUGUUGAUAUGCGUUUCGUGCUAAUGAUUAUUGAUAAGUAGUACUUUUAUAGUUCUCUUCGAUAGAUUGCUUGCAAUUAUCUAGUUGAUUAAUUAAUGCAGCGUAUUCAUGUACAGAGUUUGUUAAGUAUCAACUCAGUGGAGGUAGUUAGGUGUUAAAGUAAAUUCCUUGUCAUCAUGUACAUACGUGGUUGUUCAAAUUGUGCAAGAUAGGACUUAAAAGAACUUUUUCUUUGAGCUAAUUACCUGCACCCACAAUGUUCCCUUAAUUGCCAGAAGAAAAACAUAAUAAGAGUUGCUCGAUGAAAAAUUCCCAUGUUAUAACCGAUUGCUUUGCUCGUAAGGUUUGAAACCAAAUGUUCUAUCCUAGUGCAAUGUUGCAUAUAUAGGUCAGUAAGUUGAGCCCCAAAUAAUAUAUGUCAGUAUUAAUUAUGACACCCACAAGCGAAACACUAAUCAGAUUACGGAAACCUUUAUAUUCCGGGGGUGGUGUGGGCAUACCGUGACUAGACUCUGAUGACUCAACUCUGAACAUGAAAACAAAUAAGAUGGUAUUUUGUAGGCACUGGAUGUACGAUUAUGAAGUUCCAGUUCCCUAACUCCAGUGUUUGAUAUGUUUUUAACCCAAAUAUCUAUAUCUGAAUAGAGAUGUAGAGGCAGAUCAUUAGGAAUGCAAAGAAUAAACUCUAAUAUGAGACCAUUACGAGAUAAAAUAAUACUGCUGACGGUUCUUGAAAAUUCAUAUAGUUUAGUUUCUCUACUUCUGAAAGAAAACCUCUGAGAAAGCCGGUUGAAGAAAAGGUCAUCAAAAACUAGGUGUGUGCGCAUUUCCCAUUUACCCCUCCA